AGGGCAUGAUACUGGCUCAGAACGAACGCUGGCAGCGUGCUUUAUACAUGCAAGUCGAGCGAGAAAUUCACCUUCGGGUGGAGAGUAAAGCGGCAAACGGGUGAGUAACACGUGGGUAACCUGCCUCUCGGAGCGGAAUAACGGCGGUCCUUCGGGACCUUUAGCGAAAGUGCCGCUAAUACCGCAUGCUGAUUCGACAGCACUUGGUUCUCGCAAUCUCUGUCGCCGUCGAGUUGAAAUGGUGGCUUGCCUUCGGGCAGGUUUUCCGCCGGGAGAGGGGCCCGCGGCCUAUUAGCUAGUUGGUGAGGUAACGGCUCACCAAGGCGAUGAUGGGUAGCCGGCGUGAGAGCGCGACCGGUCACACUGGGACUGAGACACUGCCCAGAGCCCCACGGGGCGCUGCAGUAGGGAAUUUUCCGCAAUGGGCGCAAGCCUGACGGAGCGACGCUGCGUGGAGGAAGAAGGCCUUCGGGUUGUAAACUCCUGUCAGGGGUUAUGAAUGCCGUACGGGAAAUCCGUUCGGUUGACAAAGGCCCCAGAGGAAGCCAUGGCUAACUCCGUGCCAGCAGCCGCGGUAAUACGGAGAUGGCAAGCGUUGUUCGGAAUUACUGGGCGUAAAGCGCGCGUAGGCGGCCGUGCAAGUUGGAGGUGAAAGCCUGCGGCUCAACCGCAGAAGUGCCCCCAAUACUGCAUGGCUCGAGGGCGGCAGGGGAGAGUGGAACUCUAGGUGGAGCGGUGGAAUGCGUAGAUAUCUAGGGGAACGCCGGUGGCGAAAGCGACUCUCUGGGCCGUUCCUGACGCUGAGUGUGCGAAAGCCAGGGUAGCAAACGGGAUUAGAUACCCCGGUAGUCCUGGCCGUAAACGAUGGGCACUUGGCAGUAGGGAUUCGUCUUUGCUGCCGUAGCUAACGCGUUAAGUGCCCCGCCUGGGUAGUACGACCGCAAGGUUAAAACUCAAAGUAAUUGACGGGGGCUCGCACAAGCGGUGGAGCAUGUGCCUUAAUUCGAGACAACGCGAGGAACCUUACCAGGGCUUGACAUGCUAGUGGUACGAACCUGAAAGGGUUAGGACCUGGUUUCCAGGAGCUAGCACAGGUGUUGCAUGGCUGUCGUCCGUUCGUAUCGUGAGAUGUUGGGUUAAGUCCCGCAACGAGCGAAACCCUUGUCCCUAGUUGCUAACGCGUAAUGGCGAGGACUCUAUGGAGACUGCCGGUGUCAAACCGGAGGAAGGUGGGGAUGACGUCAAGUCAUCAUGGCCCUUAUGCCCUGGGCUGGACACAUGCUACAAUGGCCGGUACAAUGGGAUGCCAAGCCGCAAGGCGGAGCGAAGCCCUUAAAACCGGUCUCAGUUCGGAUCGGAGGCUGCAACUCGCCUCCGUGAAGUCGGAAUCGCUAGUAAUCGCGGAUCAGCCACGCCGCGGUGAAUAUGUCCCCGAGCCUUGUACACACCGCCCGUCAAGCCACGAAAGUUGGCAGCGCGCGAAGUCGUGGGUCUAACCGCAAGGAGGACCGCGCCCACCGCGAGGCCAGCAAUCGGGACUAAGUCGUAACAAGGUA
rnacentral:rRNA from 1 species